rnacentral:lncRNA from 1 species
UGUCCCCAGAAUAGUCGUAUUUCUUAGCUGAUCUUCUAAAAGAAAAUUGAAAGUUUCAUCUCGUCAAAACUUCGUUCAAUAUUUCGAAAAAAAAAAUCAAUUGAACCAUUUUUUAAGGGAAUGUGGAGCUUGUAGAAAUAGUGUGCUUUAAAAUAAAUCUUGCCAUAGGGUAGUGCCUUGGUUUUUUUGUAUUUUGUUGUUUCUUUAUCAAAU